rnacentral:rRNA from 1 species
GAUGAACGCUGGCGGCGUGCCUAAUACAUGCAAGUCGAGCGAACGGACGAGAAGCUUGCUUCUCUGAUGUUAGCGGCGGACGGGUGAGUAACACGUGGAUAACCUACCUAUAAGACUGGGAUAAAUUCGGGAAACCGGAGCUAAUACCGGAUAAUAUUUUGAACCGCAUGGUUCAAAAGUGAAAGACGGUCUUGCUGUCACUUAUAGAUGGAUCCGCGCUGCAUUAGCUAGUUGGUAAGGUAACGGCUUACCAAGGCAACGAUGCAUAGCCGACCUGAGAGGGUGAUCGGCCACACUGGAACUGAGACACGGUCCAGACUCCUACGGGAGGCAGCAGUAGGGAAUCUUCCGCAAUGGGCGAAAGCCUGACGGAGCAACGCCGCGUGAGUGAUGAAGGUCUUCGGAUCGUAAAACUCUGUUAUUGGGGAAGAACAUAUGUGUAAGUAACUGUGCACAUCUUGACGGUACCUAAUCAGAAAGCCACGGCUAACUACGUG